CCAAUAGCGUAUAUUAAAGUUGUUGCAGUUAAAAAGCUCGUAGUUGAAUUUCGGGGUUCUACCGUUGGUCGGGCAAUAGUCUGUACUGGCGUGUAGAAUUUCUACCUUCUGGGGAACCAUCAUGUUAUUAAUUUAGCGUGGUGGGAAACCAGGACCUUUACCUUGAAAAAAUUAGAGUGUUCAAAGCAGGCUUACGUCUGAAUACAUUAGCAUGGAAUAAUAAAAUAGGACGGUGGUCCUGUUUUGUUGGUUUCUGAAUCACCGUAAUGAUUAAUAGGGAUAGUUGGGGGCAUUAGUAUUCAAUUGUCAGAGGUGAAAUUCUUGGAUUUAUUGAAGACUAACUUCUGCGAAAGCAUUUGCCAAGGAUGUUUUCAUUAAUCAAGAACGAAAGUUAGGGGAUCGAAGACGAUCAGAUACCGUCGUAGUCUUAACCAUAAACUAUGCCGACUAGGGAUCGGACGAUGUUAAUUUUUCUUGACUCGUUCGGCGCCUUACG
rnacentral:rRNA from 1 species